GGCCACGUGGCGGAGUGGUGACGCAGCGGCCUGCAAAGCCGUGCACGCCGGUUCGAUUCCGGCCGUGGCCUCCA
rnacentral:tRNA from 1 species